rnacentral:antisense_RNA from 1 species
UAUAUAUAUAUAUGAUACUCAGGCUAAGGGUCAAGUUGAUAAUUUUUCUUAUAUCUCCCCCCCCCCCCCCCCCUUCGAAGCCUAGGUAUCAUAUACACGUCCAAAAUAAAGAGCUUUGACAAGAAGAAAAGCACCAAUACCUAUUAAGUGAAUAUCUAAAAUUGUGAUCAUUUUAUUUCGAUCUUUUCG